GUCGUUCGUAUGUCGACCACGAGGCAGCUGCCAUUUUAAAUCAUGCGAACGCUCAGCGGUGUUUGGCUCUAUUUCUAUGGAACGGAAAACGGACACUUUUUCUGUCGAACACCGCUGAAACAAGGGAACGCCUGGCUGCCUCCACGAAAGCAUGCGAACAUCGGCCGUUCGGGAGAUUGAGAACACGCAAAAGACUUAACCCAGAUAGCCCACCCAUGGAGUCAUUCGUGUACCGAAGGACUGUAAGAACUUUGACUCCAUGGCGAUUGAACUAUGUGUGUGGGACCUGAGCGCUAUUCGCCAAUAAUAUGCACUCAGAUCCAGGCUAUCUGGGGACAUGUAAUACGAAUGGGAAAUGUUCAGUUUUCAUGUAGUUAUGCAUUUUUGUGUCUUUUAUUAUUUCAUGCUUAAGAUGGC